UACGGGAGGCAGCAGUGAGGAAUAUUGGUCAAUGGACGAGAGUCUGAACCAGCCAAGUAGCGUGAAGGAUGACUGCCCUAUGGGUUGUAAACUUCUUUUAUACGGGAAUAAAGUGAGCCACGUGUGGCUUUUUGUAUGUACCGUAUGAAUAAGGAUCGGCUAACUCCGUGCCAGCAGCCGCGGUAAUACGGAGGAUCCGAGCGUUAUCCGGAUUUAUUGGGUUUAAAGGGAGCGUAGGCGGGUUGUUAAGUCAGUUGUGAAAGUUUGCGGCUCAACCGUAAAAUUGCAGUUGAUACUGGCGACCUUGAGUGCAACAGAGGUAGGCGGAAUUCGUGGUGUAGCGGUGAAAUGCUUAGAUAUCACGAAGAACUCCGAUUGCGAAGGCAGCUUACUGGAUUGUAACUGACGCUGAUGCUCGAAAGUGUGGGUAUCAAACAGGAUUAGAUACCCUGGUAGUCCACACAGUAAACGAUGAAUACUCGCUGUUGGCGAUAUACUGUCAGCGGCCA
rnacentral:rRNA from 1 species